UUUGAACCGCAUGGUUCAGACAUAAAAGGUGGCUUCGGCUACCACUUACAGAUGGACCCGCGGCGCAUUAGCUAGUUGGUGAGGUAACGGCUCACCAAGGCGACGAUGCGUAGCCGACCUGAGAGGGUGAUCGGCCACACUGGGACUGAGACACGGCCCAGACUCCUACGGGAGGCAGCAGUAGGGAAUCUUCCGCAAUGGACGAAAGUCUGACGGAGCAACGCCGCGUGAGUGAUGAAGGUUUUCGGAUCGUAAAGCUCUGUUGUUAGGGAAGAACAAGUGCCGUUCAAAUAGGGCGGCACCUUGACGGUACCUAACCAGAAAGCCACGGCUAACUACGUGCCAGCAGCCGCGGUAAUACGUAGGUGGCAAGCGUUGUCCGGAAUUAUUGGGCGUAAAGGGCUCGCAGGCGGUUUCUUAAGUCUGAUGUGAAAGCCCCCGGCUCAACCGGGGAGGGUCAUUGGAAACUGGGGAACUUGAGUGCAGAAGAGGAGAGUGGAAUUCCACGUGUAGCGGUGAAAUGCGUAGAGAUGUGGAGGAACACCAGUGGCGAAGGCGACUCUCUGGUCUGUAACUGACGCUGAGGAGCGAAAGCGUGGGGAGCGAACAGGAUUAGAUACCCUGGUAGUCCACGCCGUAAACGAUGAGUGCUAAGUGUUAGGGGGUUUCCGCCCCUUAGUGCUGCAGCUAACGCAUUAAGCACUCCGCCUGGGGGAGUACGGUCGCAAGACUGAAACUCAAAGGAAUUGACGGGGGCCCGCACAAGCGGUGGAGCAUGUGGUUUAAUUCGAAGCAACGCGAAGAACCUUACCAGGUUUUGACAUCCUCUGACAAUCCUAGAGAUAGGACGUCCCCUUCGGGGGCAGAGUGACAGGUGGUGCAUGGUUGUCGUCAGCUCGUGUCGUGAGAUGUUGGGUUAAGUCCCGCAACGAGCGCAACCCUUGAUCUUAGUUGCCAGCAUUCAGUUGGGCACUCUAAGGUGACUGCCGGUGACAAACCGGAGGAAGGUGGGGAUGACGUCAAAUCAUCAUGCCCCUUAUGACCUGGGCUACACACGUGCUACAAUGGGCAGAACAAAGGGCAGCGAAACCGCGAGGUUAAGCCAAUCCCACAAAUCUGUUCUCAGUUCGGAUCGCAGUCUGCAACUCGACUGCGUGAAGCUGGAAUCGCUAGUAAUCGCGGAUCAGCAU
rnacentral:rRNA from 1 species